CAGCCGCCGCGGUUAUACGAAGGGUGCAAGCGUUACUCGGAAUUACUGGGCGUAAAGCGUGUGUAGGUGGUUGUUUAAGUCUGUCGUGAAAGCCCUGGGCUCAACCUGGGAAUUGCGAUGGAUACUGGGCGACUAGAGUGCGGUAGAGGAUAGUGGAAUUUCCGGUGUAGCAGUGAAAUGCGUAGAGAUCGGGAGGAACAUCAGUGGCGAAGGCGGCCAUCUGGGACAACACUGACGCUGAGGCACGAAAGCGUGGGGAGCAAACAGGAUUAGAUACCCCCGUAGUCCCUGUCUCUUAUAC
rnacentral:rRNA from 1 species